rnacentral:rRNA from 1 species
CAAUAGCGUAUAUUAAAGUUGUUGCAGUUAAAAAGCUCGUAGUUGAAUUUCUGGCGGGCGCGCCGGUCUUCCAAGUGUUGUACUGGGCGCAGUCCGCCAUCCUUGUGGAGAGGGCUCGCAUUGAGUUGCGUGUCGGAUCUGCAUCAUUUACUGUGAAAAAAUUAGAGUGUUUAAAGCAGGCUGUCGCUUGGAUACAUUAGCAUGGAAUAAUAAGAUAGGACUUCGGUCUAUUUUGUUGGUUGCGAACCGAGGUAAUGAUUAAUAGGGAUAGUUGGGGGUAUUUAUAUUUAAUUGUCAGAGGUGAAAUUCUUGGAUUUAUGAAAGAUGAACAACUGCGAAAGCAUUUACCAAGGAUGUUUUCAUUAA